ensembl:lncRNA
CAACUUACACUGGGACUUGUAUGGUGGAUGGUCCUUAUAAUAAUACUAAACGAAUUUAUCAUUUAACAAGAAAAAAACUAAUGGUUGAUAUGGUGAUGCUUUCUCUUCACCCUGUUUGCACGGUUUCCCAAAGCAGUAUACAUUUCCCUUCAGUUGGUUUGUGGGCUUCUGGAUGUUUUUGCCUCUCUUCUCUGGACUUAGCGAGAGAAAAAAAAUGCAGGACGUCUUUGGGAUCCUGUUGAUGUUCACAGGAGCUGCAUCAGGUUUGCUGUUUCAGGAUCCUGUUGUCUGUAGAUUUAAUGAGAGUAGUCUGUGUUAUGUAGCUCUGGGACAACGACUGCACCUGCAAAUUCCCCUGGAGUAUAGGUUUGAACUAAAGAUCACAGACAAGACAUCUACCACUCGUUCCAUUUUAAGAUAUAUAAAAACCCAAAGUGACCCACCAAAACCAAAUGACCCAAGAUGGCAGUUUGAUAAAGAUAAAACUAUAAUACUAACCAGUGCAGAGAGGAGCGACUCUGGAACAUACACUUUAGACACCUUUGAUGCAAACGGAAAUAAUAAAGGCAGUUAUACUCUCCAGCUGUACAUUGAAGCUAAGGUGUCCUCAGUGAGCAUCCAGUACAACUGCUUGUUCCCUGAGGUCAGGAAAGUGCACUGUUCUGCUGAUGGAGACAACCUCCAGUUCAGCUGGACUUCUGAAUCAACCAUACGGUUGGAGAAUGAGAACAGCACUCUCGUACUGGAUAAAAAUAAUGAUGGAAAUGUCACCUGCCAUGUCGAAAAUCACGUCAGCCGUGACAACAAUUCCAUUGAACUCCAGUCAUGUCCCAAUUUCACUCUGAUUAUCCUGAGCUUGGUUUGUGUGCUUCUCAUUGUACUAUCGGUCUUAGCGUUCUACAUAUACAAGAGACUAGGCCUAUGGAAAAAAGACCCUUCUCAGGAUGGCAAGGAGCUUGUGUAUGCGGACAUCACCCAUUUACCCACGAACAAGACAGAGACAAGACCAACUACAUCACAAGCUCAGGACAAGGACAUGGAGUAUGCCACGGUGGUCACUCAUCCCAGCCAGAGGAACCAGAAGAAGAACGAGGAAGAGGUGCAGUAUGGCAAGCUGGUGUUUAACACGCCUGACCAAAAAAAGAGCGUGAUGCCCAAAGUGCAAGAAGAGUGUGUGUACUCACAGGUCCAGCAUGGUCAAUAAGGGACACACUCUUAGCCUGUCUCGGUAUGUAUUUUAUUGCAAGAUCAUUCUGGUAGAGGAAGUAGCUGUUGAUGACAUUUCACCCAUACACACUCAUCUCUUACCCAAAAUCAAACCAUUUCACUAUCUGAUUAUCUAAUUACUAAAUCUUUUAGGCUGCAUACAAGCACAGUGGUUAGUGUUUCAUAAAGUGGGUACCAAAAAGGAAUGAAUGAAUUUAUGUAAUUUUCUAUUUAAAUGUAAUGUUUUGCAGUUGCCAUUUUACGUCCAUUCCACUAGGAUGAAAUGAAACCGUGUAUUGAGUGCUGAGUUCCUAGGCUUUUUUCCCCAAAGGCAUUUGUGACUCAGUAUCAUUUCACUAAUGAAGAGAAAAUAAAUGGGAUCUUCCUUCUUGCAGCUUUAAGUGUUGAACUUAAGACACAGCUGUGGCUUCAUGGACAGCUCACACACUGCUCUUUGAGUUGCUCCAUCUUUCAAAACCAACAUUUCUGCUUCUCAGUUUAAAACAAAAUGACACCUUGUCACUGUGGUCAAGUGCUGUACAUAAGAAGUGUGUAAAUUAUUCUACGAGGUUGUUUUCUACCAUUUAAAAAAUGUUACAUGGAUAAAAUGAAUGGUUAAAAUGUCAAAUUGUUCAGUUGUAAAUGGAUUUUCAGCUUAUGAUGUCUAAAACUUUCAGUUUGUGAAAUUGUGUGUGAAAUCAUGCCUUAAGAAUUGACACCUGAUGUUUACUCUCUUGCUAAACACAUGGGCAGAAAAAGCAUCAGCCAAGUCAGAGAUAUUAUUUUUUUAAUUUUAUUUUUAAUUUUUUUUUUAAAGCUAUAAAUGUGUAUAGAUGGAUGUAUUAUAUUUCACAUUGCCUUGGUUGCAUUGUCAAUUUCAAACUUGUAUCUUUGUAUUAUAUUGCAAUAAUUAAUGGAAAACCUAUUCCUGUAACUAUGCAGAGCCUCUGUUAGUACAUUUAUUCUUGAGUAAAGCAGUGUUUUACAGUGUUGCACUGUUACCUUCUCUGGAAAAUGAAAAGAGGAUGGAACGCACUUGCCUGCAUAUGCAAACAUGUUCAUGCAGACCAUUUAUUUGCGUCAUAAUUAUCCCAGCUUGUGUGGUUGGUGGAGAGCAAUUGCAGUGCUUGGUUCUAAAAAUUAAAGAAAUAAGGGUGUUGUCAUCAGGGAGUGUUGGUGUUACUGACACCAAAUAGGGUCAUUUAAAAAAAAAAAAAAAUGAAUAUCACAAUCAUUCUUUAACAGUUGAUUGCUGAUAUUCCUAUCCUUUAAGGUUUUUUUUGCAUUGGAAGUUUAAAAAAAUUACAUAGGAUUAAGAUCAAAUGGGUGGGUAGUAUUAAUAAACUUGAUGAUUACACAAGGUAGUAAGCACUCAGCUUACAAUUUGUGAUAUAAAAGUGUAUAUAUGUGAAGGAGACUAUUUGCUGACACACUUUUCAUAACUUGGUUAAAUAAAUUGUUCCUCUUUUUUUGUUGAACCAAUCUAGAUGAGUUAAUGGCAUAGUUUAAGGUUUUAAAACUGUACUGAAUUUUUACAGAAAAAAUACCUAUGCAUAAAUUGUUUGUUCUUAAUUCCCAGAAUGCCUCUACUGACUCUAUUAUUCAUGUUUAUUUAUCAACGGCAUUUAUACAAUGAUAUUUAAGAUUUGCUGGCAACUUUUGCAUGGCAGUAAUGAGUAUGAGAGUGCUGAAAAGCUGCCUGAAGUUCUUGUGAUAGCCAUGUUCCAUGUCCAAUCAGCAAUGGGCAUAUGUUGUUCAAUAAGGACCUCCCAUUUCUGUUGAUGUGUUAAUAAUUGGCAGCUGUGGUGUCCUCAGUGAAAGUGUGGUACUGCUGCUUGUUCCCUGAAAUCAGAAAAGUGUACUGUUUUGCUGAUGGAGACAACCCACAAAUACCAGAAACCAGAUGACACUAAACAAUGGGCAAAGGAACUAAAAGCUUCAGACGCUGGUGAUGACACAUCUUCUGUCAUAUUUGUCCUUCAUGAUAGGCUGAUAGCUGUUUCAAUGAUGCUCUGAGCACUUCUGACCACCCACUUCUCCAAGGAUGUAGAUUGAUCUUCCUCAGAAUGUUGAUGGUGAUGGGCCUUCUUGAUGAGGGGCGAGGUGUGGAGGACUCAACAGAAGUCUUGUGUUAAGACUUGAAGCUGUUGACUCUACAGCAGUUCCAUUAAUGGAGAUGGGUCUGUGGGUCACACUCAGUUUCCUGAAGUCAACGAUCUGCUCCUGGGUCUUGCUGAUGUUGGUGCACAGGUUGUUUCUAGGUCACUAGCAGUUCCACCUUCUCCCUGUAGGCUGUCUCAUCAUUGAUGUUUAUUUAAUGAUGGAGUUUGUGUUAUGCCUAAGGUAGGGUGACCAUACUGUACGUCCUCUUUUCCCUGGACAUGUCCUCUAUUUCGCACAUUAAAAAAGCAUCCAGACAAAAAUAGCGGGAAAAAUAGCCUCUUAGAUAAUCGGUAUUGGCCAAUACAUCGGUGCAUCUCUAAUAUAUCUAGUAAUAAUAUAUAUGUGAUGAAAAGUUUUCAUUCACAGUAACAUUGUUUUGAACAUGCAUCAGACACCAUGGUCCUAUACCACGGUCCAGCUUUCGUGACUGUGAUGAGAUCAAAAUGACUUGGUUGUUGUGUGAUAUUUAUAGACCAUGAACGUAUUUGUGAGAAAAAUAUUUCGUCCAUACCAUACCACACCAUCACCACCACCAUACCACAGGAGUGCUGAAUGCACAAGCAAUGAGUUCUCACUUACAAUUCAAGGAAACUAGGCAGUAUAAAUUUAAAUAUUUUACGUUGAUAAAGAAACACAUUUCACUCAGCAACAGAGAGCUGUUUAUUGAUCAGCUCUAUGGAUAAACUAGCAAGACUUUUCUUUAAUAGACCGGCUAAACACCCUCUUUCUUUCUUUCAUUCUUUCUUUCUAUCCAGUAACUUAGAAUACAGGAAGUGAGCGGUUAUAACAGUAACUUUGGAACUUCCUCUACUUCUCAGUAAAGCAUAAUUAGAACUGUAAAAGGAGAUUCAUCUUGCUAUUGUAGUUUCUCAUCACUCACGACUAAGAUCUCUAACAAGUACAGAGAGGACUGUUCUCUGGACAAAAUGAGAAUACAGGUCAUCUUUGGAAUCCUGCUGAUUUUCACAAAAGCUGCCAUGGGUUUGCUGUUUCAGGAUCCUGUUGUCUGUAGAUUUAAUGAGAGUAGUCAGUGUUAUAUAGCUCUGGGACAACGACUGCACCUGCAAAUGCCCCUGGAGGAUAGGUUUGAACUAAAGAUCACAGACAAGACAUCUACCACUCGUUUCAUUUUAAAAUAUAGAAAAACCCAAAGUAACCCACCAAAACCAAAUCUCCCAAGAUGGCAGUUUGUUAAAGAUAAUAAAACUAUGAUACUAACCAGUGCAGAGAGGAACGACUCUGGAACAUACACUUUAGAUAUUUAUGAUGCAAACAGGAAUACUAAAGGCAGUUAUACUUUCCAGGUGAACAUUGCAGCUGAGGUGUCCUCAGUAAAUAUGUGGUACAGCUGCUUGCUCCCUGGAGUCAUGAAAGUGUACUGUUCUGCUGAUGGAGACAACUUCCGCUUCAACUGGACUUCUGAUUUAAACACAUUCCCUCAACUGGAGGACGGGAGCAGCACUGUCGUACUGAAUAAAGACCAUCAUGGAAAUGUCACCUGCCAUGUAGAAAAUCAUGUCAGCCGUGACCACAAUACCACUGAACUCCACCCAUGUCCUGAACCUACUACUGCAGUAAUCAGCUCCACAACUUCUAAUGAUGGUUUGCUGUUUCAGGAUCCUGUUGUCUGUAGAUUUAAUGAGAGUAGUCAGUGUUAUGUAGCUCUGGGACAACGACUGCACCUGCAAAUUCCCCUGGAGGAUGGGAUUGAACUAAAGAUCACAGACAAGACAUCUACCACUCAUUUAAUUUUAAAAUAUAGAAAAACCCAAAGUAACCCACCAAAACCAAAUCACCCAAGAUGGCAGUUUGUUAAAGAUAAUAAAACUAUGAUACUAACCAGUGCAGAGAGGAACGACUCUGGAACAUACACUUUAGACACCUUUGAUGCAAACGGGAAUAAUAAAGGCAUUUAUAGUCUCCAGCUGUACAUUGAAGCUGAGGUGUCCUCAGUGAAUAUGUGGUACAGCUGCUUGUCCCCUGGAGUCAUGAAAGUUUACUGUUCUGCUGAUGGAGACAACCUCCGCUUCAACUGGACUUCUGAUUUAAACACAUUCCCUCAACUGGAGAACGGGAGCAGCACUGUCGUACUGAAUAAAGACCAUCAUGGAAAUGUCACCUGCCAUGUAGAAAAUCACGUCAGCCGUGACCACAAUACCACUGAACUCCACCCAUGUCCUGAACCUACUACUGCAGUAAUCAGCUCCACAACUUCUAAUGAUGGUUUGCUGUUUCAGGAUCCUGUUGUCUGUAGAUUUAAUGAGAGUAGUCAGUGUUAUGUAGCUCUGGGACAACGACUGCACCUGCAAAUUCCCCUGGAGGAUGUGUUUGAACUAAAGAUCACAGACAAGACAUCUACCACUCGUUCAAUUUUAAAAUAUAGAAAAACUAAACGUAACCCACCAAAACCAAAUCUCCCAAGAUGGCAGUUUAUUAAAGAUAAUAAAACUAUGAUACUAACCAGUGCAGAGAGCAGCGACUCUGGAACAUACACUUUAGAAACCUUUGAUGCAAACGGAAAUAAUAAAGGCAUUUAUACUCUCCAGCUGAACACUGAAGCUAAGGUGUCCUCAGUAAAAUUAUCGUACAGUUGCAUGUUCCUUGGAGUCAGGAAGGUGCAGUGUUCUGCUGAUGGAGAAAACCUCUACUUCAGCUGGACUUCUGAAAUAACCACUCGGUUAGAGAAUGGGAACAGCACUCUCCUACUGGAUAAAAACUGUAAUGUAAACAUUACCUGCCAUGUUGAAAAUCACGUCAGCCAUAUCCACAGAUCCAUUGAACUCCACUCAUGUUCUGGUUUUAUGGUGGUGUUUUUGUCUGUGUGGAUCUUUCAAGUCAUCAUCCUGCUGUCUCUGUUAGUGGGAGCGUACAUCUACCCCAGAAUCUACAGGAAACAGAGGACACCUGAGAUUCAGGAAGCUCUGUAAACCUGGAUUAGGAACAGAAGAAGCAGAUCUCCUCUAUGCAACCAUCAAUAACAGAUGGCUAACAGAGAACAUAAAUUUAAUUCCUCAAUCCACAAAAAAAUUCAAAUAAAUCAGACUCAAGAUUCCUGUAGAUUCGUUGAGGCACCGAGUGCUAAUUUUCAGUUGUUUCUGGUAUUCUUUCUUUUUUAAUAUUUUAAAAAUAAUGCAAUGCUUUGAUACAGUUGUUACAAACAUGCCAACAAUGCUUUUGUGGGAAUGAUUUUAAUAAAGUUUUUGAAAUGUAAAUGUAGGUAUAUGUACUGUACGUGUGAAUGCUGAAAUAAAGUCUUUUUUUUUUUUUUUAACUGACACACCUAAACUCACUGUUCUUGAUGUAUGAUGUAACUUUUGAGUUCUAAAUUCAAC